UCGCCAGAAUCACAACACUGAAAAUGUAAUGACUCCAGCCUGGAGGCACCAGCACCCCUUUGUGUUCACUUAGUCCACCAUUACUGGCAGACUGAAGUCUGUCUGAAAGGCAGGAAACCCCCGAGUUCUAAUUCUGAUGUCAGCAGUGACUCCAGCUUAACCACUUAACUUCUCUGCCUCAGCCUCCUUCACUGCAACAUGGAGAUAACAGAACUUCACAACUGGUCUAUUGUACUGAAAUACCAGCUGCCUACUUCUGCCGACAGAUGAUUUUGAAACAGCAUAGUUUGCCUUUGGGACCUGACAGGCCCCGAAGAAGGCAUUCCUAGCGAAGCUUGAGCGAGAAAGUGAACUCCCCAGGAGCUGAAAUCCCCUCAUCUCUGGAGCUGUCUAUCUGAGCGUUGGACCCAUCCCAAAUGGUUCUGAGUGUGCCCCGGACAGCCCCUGGAAUGGAGAUUCUGAAUUAGGAGACUUGAGUCCAUCCUCCAGGUCUGAAGAAGGAUCUCCCCUGCUCCCUCCAGGGAAGAAUGGGCAUCAGGUGGAAGAUGAAGGGGUGACUAUUGAGAGGCCUAUACCAAUUCCAGAAGAAGAAAGAGCCAGAUUUCAUCCUAGGAACUGGCAGUACUGGAAAGGCCUGAGGGGCUACGCUGCUGGAACCAACACCAUGUGUCUGCCCUGCUCUACCUACAUCCAUGGUGAGGAUUUGUCUUCCUCUUCUGUGACGGCACAUGUAGUAUUGUCUACUUUGUGCUUUUACAAACUUAACACUGCAGCUUUGUUUCAUGCUGCUUGUGUGUUGUGGAUGGUAUUACACACACAAGUACAGACCUUUAGAAUUGUAUGCACACAAUUGCACAUGUAAAAAUGCAUCCCAGUAAUCAUGUAUGCUGAUUUUAUGCAGGCAUUUUUGCCGACACAAAUCUAAACCCCCUGAUCUCUCUUGGGGCACUGAGAACCUUGAACUUCAGCAGUGAAUCAGCACACAUGAAGCAUGUGACCUCUGAUUGAUCGGCAAUAUCUGCCAGCAUUUUAACAUGCGCUAACUUCGUUUAGAGAAAGGGCUUAAACCCUUUAACGUUUUCUCAUCCCUUAUUAGAACACACUAAGUGAGGGCUCCUCAAAGCCAAGAUCAUCUGUGUAGCAAGCUUUCUGAAGUCAGAACUCAAUACAUAUUAAUAUUUCAUGCUAAGUCAAAAAUAUCAGACCAUGUGAAUCCAUUCCUAUCUCACAUGGCUUUCUUCACAAUUGCUCUUAACCCAAUUUCCAGAGCUAUUAGUGUUCAAACACAGUUUGCUCAUUCACAGGCCAGCUCCUGCUAGCUGAUCCUUCUGGGAAAUCAUAGUCAGGGCUUUGGAAUCAGUGCAAGUCUGAGGCACUGUCUUGUAGGGUAUUUAUCCAUAUGGGGUAACAUGCAAGGUAUCUACAGAAAUCUCAUGCCUUAUCAAGACAAUAUAACUGUGCAUAGGUGCUGAAUUCCUCUCUACCUGGGUGUGCUCGACCCCCCCCCCCGCCCCAGCACCACCCACUCUCCACCCCUUCCC